CAUUUGCCCAGUCGGAUGAACUUGGCCGGACUGGAUAGCCCUCCGACGUAACUGAUAAGAUUGCUGUCUACCACAGGACCCAAAACUUCAAGUAACAAAAGCAGCCAUUCGUUUGCGAACCCAGGCAGAAAUGUGCGCGUUGUGCUGAUUAUCUGGAUUGUGCGGAACGUCUCUACGGAAGGCUGUACCAAACACGAAUGUUUUGCAGUGAAUUGGCGAGCUGAUUGUGAACUCUUUUUCCCAACUGAUUCCGAAAUCGUGAGAACAAAUCAAGUUCAUGGCAAUGCUGUACUUUACUGAUGAACGACGUUUCAUCCACCCAACAAUCGCUGCCAACAAAGGAAGUUAAACGACGCACCUUCGGCACUGGCAAUUGUCUUUUUGAAUUUAACCAAUCGAGAUGUGAUGGGAAACGUAGAUGUUUUUGGCAACUCUGGACAACGUAAGGGGAAGUACAAUUCAGGAAUUAAAGCAGACUCAAACCAGA